GCCAGUAUGGCAUAAUGGUUUGUGUGUUGAAUUACAACUCUGGAGACCAGGGUUCAAAUCCUGGCUCAGCCA
rnacentral:tRNA from 1 species